ACACAAGCACGCUAUCUCACCCUGGCCACGCAAACCUAAACCUAAACCUAAAUCGCCCACCAGCCGCCGCCACCCUUCAUCUCCGUCGAUUCGGUCAUGCCACUGCGCGUCCCACCGUCGCGCGUGCCACCCGAAGCUCCCGUCCAGCCCGUGGUGCAGCCCCACCAGCAGCAGCCUGAGGUGACGCCCCAUCGUCAGCUCAUCCCACGACCGAUGCCGCAUCUGCCGAUUCGGUCACGCCGCUGCGCCUCCACCGCCGGCGGCGCCACGCCACCACCGGAAGCUCUUGCCCAGCCCAUGGUGCAUCCCGACGUGUCGCCCUGGCGACGGCCGACCUGCUUACCAAUUUGCGCCGUUGCUUCUCCAACUGCCGUUAGUGGCCCCCAAAGCUUCCUUCCACCGCGUGGUGCUUCCAUCCACAGCCAAGGAGCCGCACAACCCCCUGCAUCCCGAGGUGCCACCCAGCCGUCCCUCUUCCACCUCGGGUGAUGGAUCUCCUAUUCCCCCUUGUCAUGCCCUCCUUUGCAUCUAACCGUUGCAUCCUGUAGUGUCUUCAAUUGAAUCUAUGUACAGAGGGAAAACUCCACAAGAGGCUUCUGAAGCUUGGUCAACGCCUUCAUGAGGACCAACCUAUAACUCGUAUGUGUCGCUGGAUAAGGCCAUGUCUUUCGUGGGUGGUGCUUGGCUGAUUUGUACAUGGAUACUAUUAAAGAAUGGUACAAACAUAUAUGGAAUAUGAAAGGUUGAUCCAAGCCAGCUUCAGGAGCUCAAGGCAUACAGGAAGACCGAGGAGGAGGGGAUGAACACACUUUUAAACCACUACCUCCAUUUCUGUGCAGUUUCUCUCAAGAUGCAAGCUGAAAUGCUGGUGAUCGAGAAGAACAGUCCUGCGAAUGGCAUCAUCAAGCUCAUCGAGCAACAUCACAUCACAAACCAUGUCAUGGGAACAUCUUCCUUCUCACCGUGUGGCCAGACCAAAUACAGCUUCGUAACAAGGUUUCAUCGAUAAACAUGCACAUCAAAAUUUCCCGCGGACUUCUAUAUAUAUUUAGGCACUAAGAUGUGGUAAAUCAUGAUGGCACACUAUCAACUUAUAUAAGGUCCUCGAGGGUAAAAGCAAGUAAUGAACAAGGAUGCAUGUGCAAGCAUAUGGUUUUCGAAAUGGCUUUUUUUUCACCAAGUGCACUUCCUGCUACCACCUAUAUGACUGCCGGUACAUGUACAAGUGCAUAUCUGAUUAUUUGCUGGUUGAGGAACUUCAAAUACAAAUCUGUAAAGUUACAAUAAGAACCUUAUUCGUUAUGCCUUUUAACAGAUCUAAGUCAAUGUGUGCAUAAUUUUCUAUUAAGGCAUGUGAUAUGCUAGUUGCUAGCCUGACUUUUGUUGAUGCUUUGUUAAGGAUAUUUUCUGUAACAAACUAUUUGUAGUACAUCUUCUAUUUUUAGAUCUUUGGGAUCAAGGGCAACUCACAAAUUUGAACAAAUUCUCAUUUCUAAGAUUGCUCAAGCGUUUAAGUUCUUUUGCAGUGACAAUGGCACGUCCACAUGUUGAUUCAAGAUGUUCUGAUGAUCGGUUUUGUUCAUAACAUGUUUGACACAUUUUGUGGAUAUGGAAGUUGAUGUCAGCUCGGUGAUCGAAGAGAUUUGGUCUCUUCCUUAAUAUCUUGUAGUAGUCAAGUGAUCGAACAAUUGGGUCUCUUAGGAGCUUAGCCAUCAUAUUUUGUAAUAGACCACGUCUUUUAUGUCGACUUACUUAUUUCCUUAUUGGUUGUAGCUGACUUGAGUGUAGCAAACUAAUGAAUCUUGUAUACAUGCUUGAAUGAAUGUAUUAAUCAAAUGGUAUCUUGUGAUGAA